GUUCAGUCUUCCCAGGCCCACCACACUCAUCGGGUAAGCAUUCGUCUUCUGGUUACGGGGCCAUAGCUCAGCUGGGAGAGCGCGUGCUUUGCAAGCAUGAGGUCGUCGGUUCGAUCCCGUCUGGCUCCACCAGAUGGUUUGAUCACCGACGCUGUGUUUGCAGCUAUUCAACCGUCGUCCGCGAAACAUCACUUCGCACCUACUAGUCUGGAUAGACAGUAGGUUGCGUGAUUUCUGACAUCGUAAAGAGGAGAUCGAUCCGAGUUGGAUCGGGCAGCAAGCAAUUGCUGCGCGAACCUUCAUUAUCUCCGGAUCAUUUCGGCGCUCGCGCGCCUUUCAAUGCGGCUCACAAGGCUGCGUCUGAGGGGAAUGCGGGUUGUAAAUGAUCCUUUUAGCGAAGCUUGACCGCCUCGCUAUCGGAACGAUCUUACGAAGCAAGCUGGUCUUUCUAAUCAUUGUCCGGCUGUACGUAGCGUUCAUCGAGGGCGCGUGCCGCAAGGCAAUCGUACAGACAACAUUCUGCCGAGUGUGUGGACAUUGAUAAUGAGAGCAAUCAAGUGCCUUAAGGGUGUUCGGUGGAUGCCUUGGCGCUGAGAGGCGAUGAAGGACGUGCUACGCUGCGAUAAG
rnacentral:misc_RNA from 2 species